rnacentral:lncRNA from 1 species
CGUACGACAAAAGGUCGGAAGCAAGUGGUGCAGUCCAUGGGUCGAUGCGGGCCAAGCCCGACAAUGUGCUGGCACUGGGUCGGCCCAUGCAUGUGCGUGGCCUAUGAGCGUGGGCACCAAACCAUUUGAUCCACCAUGGACCAAAGUUUGGCAUGAUUUACCAGCCGUGCAUGGACCAGAUGGCAGGGAUUGCUCUAGGAGCGAUCCAACGGCAAG